rnacentral:rRNA from 1 species
GACAGAGGUGGCAAGCGUUGUUCGGAAUUACUGGGCGUAAAGGGCGCGUAGGCGGUUCGUUAAGUCCUGUGUGAAAUCCCCCGGCUCAACUGGGGAACUGCACAGGAAACUAGCGGGCUUGAGUUCGGGAGAGGGAAGCGGAAUUCCGGGUGUAGCGGUGAAAUGCGUAGAUAUCCGGAGGAACACCGGUGGCGAAGGCGGCUUCCUGGACCGACACUGACGCUGAGGCGCGAAAGCUAGGGGAGCAAACGGG